rnacentral:rRNA from 1 species
GUCGUCAGCUCGUGUCGUGAGAUGUUGGGUUAAGUCCCGCAACGAGCGCAACCCUCGCCCUUAGUUGCCAGCAUUUAGUUGGGCACUCUAAGGGGACUGCCGGUGAUAAGCCGAGAGGAAGGUGGGGAUGACGUCAAGUCCUCAUGGCCCUUACGGGCUGGGCUACACACGUGCUACAAUGGUGGUGACAGUGGGCAGCGAGCACGCGAGUGUGAGCUAAUCUCCAAAAGCCAUCUCAGUUCGGAUUGCACUCUGCAACUCGAGUGCAUGAAGUUGGAAUCGCUAGUAAUCGCGGAUCAGCAUGCCGCGGUGAAUACGUUCCCGGGCCUUGUACACACCGCCCGUCACACCAUGGGAGUUGGUUUUACCCGAAGGCGCUGUGCUAACCGCAAGGAGGCAGGCGACCACGGUAGGGUCAGCGACUGGGGUGAAGUCGUAACAAGGUAGCCGUAACAAGGUAGAGUUUGAUCCUGGCUCAGU